rnacentral:rRNA from 1 species
ACAGAGGUCCCAAGCGUUGUUCGGAUUCACUGGGCGUAAAGGGUGCGUAGGUGGUGAAUUAAGUCGGGUGUGAAAUCUCCGGGCUCAACCCGGAGCGUGCGCCCGAAACUGAUUUGCUAGAGGAUAGGAGGGGAGACUGGAAUUCUCGGUGUAGCAGUGAAAUGCGUAGAUAUCGAGAGGAACACCGGUGGCGAAGGCGAGUCUCUGGACUAUUCCUGACACUGAAUCACGAAAGCCGGGGGAGCAAACAGGAUUAGAUACCCUGGUAGUCCCGGCCCUAAACGGUGCGCAUUUGCUGUGGGCGGAAUCGACCCCGCCCGUGGCGAAGCUAACGCGAUAAAUGCGCCGCCUGGGGAGUACGGCCGCAAGGUUA